rnacentral:rRNA from 1 species
CAGUCGCCACGGGAAUACGAAGGGGGCUAGCGUUGCUCGGAAUCACUGGGCGUAAAGGGUGCGUAGGCGGGUCUUUAAGUCAGGGGUGAAAUCCUGGAGCUCAACUCCAGAACUGCCUUUGAUACUGAAGAUCUUGAGUUCGGGAGAGGUGAGUGGAACUGCGAGUGUAGAGGUGAAAUUCGUAGAUAUUCGCAAGAACACCAGUGGCGAAGGCGGCUCACUGGCCCGAUACUGACGCUGAGGCAUGAAAGCGUGGGGAGCAAACAGGAUUAGAUACCCCCGUAGUCCCUGUCUCUUAUAA